CCCGCCGCUGCGCGCCGCCGCCCCGCCGCCGCCCCUCCCCGCGGUUCUCCUCCUGAAGACGCGUUUUUCCGAAGGCAGAAAAGGGCAAUCUUUAAAGGCAGCAAGGUGUGACGCUCCAGACUGGCAGCUUGGCAAGACGGAGCCCAUGGAUACCAGCACACGGGAAUCUGGACCGUUCACUCUGACAGCAGUCAGCACUGGGAACAAAAGGAAUGGAGGGGAAAAAAAAAGAGCAAAUGUAUUUUUACAUAUUGUAGGCAUAUGGCCACAAGACCAGCAGAAAUAUAUUUAAUUACCAAUUGCGUACGUUCAGGAGAAAAACAGUGGGAAGGGAGGAAAAAAAACUGUGUACACAGCAAUAUUAUUCUACUUUAACUUUUCACCUCGUUUUUGUUGUUUGUUUUGUUUUGUUUUGUUUUGUUUUUUAGAUGAAGACGAUGGGGACGUUGAUUAGAAUUGCGAAGGGUUAUCUGCUGGAAUCCUACCAAAGUACGCGGGCCUCUCACUGUUGUGGCCUCUCCUGCUGCAGAGCACAGGCUCCGGAUGCGCAGGCUCAGCGGCCAUGGCUCACAGGCCCAGCCGCUCCGCGGCAUGUGGGAUCUUCCCAGACAGGGGCACGAACCCGU